UACGUAGGGUGCAAGCGUUGUCCGGAAUUAUUGGGCGUAAAGAGCUCGUAGGCGGUCUGUUACGUCUGCUGUGAAAACCCUGGGCUUAACCCUGGGCUUGCAGUGGAUACGGGCAGACUAGAGGCAGGUAGGGGAGAAUGGAAUUCCCGGUGUAGCGGUGAAAUGCGCAGAUAUCGGGAGGAACACCGGUGGCGAAGGCGGUUCUCUGGGCCGAUACUGACGCUGAGGAGCGAAAGCGUGGGGAGCGAACAGG
rnacentral:rRNA from 1 species